GUGGGGAAUAUUGGACAAUGGGCGCAAGCCUGAUCCAGCCAUGCCGCGUGUGUGAAGAAGGCCUUAUGGUUGUAAAGCACUUUAAGCGAGGAGGAGGCUACUUUAGAUAAUACCUAGAGAUAGUGGACGUUACUCGCAGAAUAAGCACCGGCUAACUCUGUGCCAGCAGCCGCGGUAAUACAGAGGGUGCAAGCGUUAAUCGGAUUUACUGGGCGUAAAGCGCGCGUAGGCGGCUAAUUAAGUCAAAUGUGAAAUCCCCGAGCUUAACUUGGGAAUUGCAUUCGAUACUGGUUAGCUAGAGUGUGGGAGAGGAUGGUAGAAUUCCAGGUGUAGCGGUGAAAUGCGUAGAGAUCUGGAGGAAUACCGAUGGCGAAGGCAGCCAUCUGGCCUAACACUGACGCUGAGGUGCGAAAGCAUGGGGAGCAAACAGGAUU
rnacentral:rRNA from 1 species